rnacentral:snRNA from 1 species
GGGUUCGCUUCAGCAGCACAUAUUCUAAAAUUGGAGUGAUACAGAGAAGAUUAGCAUGGCCCCUGCACAAAGAUAACACACAAAUUGGCAAAGUGUUCCAUAUAGAA